UGGUGUCCAAGAAAUGGUGACAAAUCUCA
rnacentral:piRNA from 1 species